CGACGGCCGUUCCUCUCUUGGUCCUGAGUGAUGGACUUGUGAGAUUUUAGGCUGUCGCAGACAAAAAUGAUCUUUUUCACUCAGGGAUGUGCUGGUGGGUUGGCUGCCUUUCCACAUCUUCUGAAUUUUGCGGGCUCAGACAAUU